rnacentral:lncRNA from 1 species
CAGGAGUCUCAGAACACCCAUCAGUGCCAGCAGAGCCAAGAGACCAGCAGGUGCUGACAUGGUAGCAUGGUGCUGUCAGCAUGUGGCACAGCAGUUAUGCACAACAAAGUUCUGCUUUGAUUUACGUCCAGCCAAGCACAUUAGGCCCAGGUUUUGGGCCUGGAGAAGUCCAAACCAGAAGCUGGCUGAGGAGAUCCUCACCAAGAGAGGAGCAGCUGAAUCACCAGACACACAUAUACACUUGGUGACUUGGAUUUUUUUCAUCUUGACAAAUCCUUCCUCCAGCUUCCCUCAGUUUUCAACAGCACAACAGGGAGUCAAUCAGGAAAGCUUUACAAGGCCGAUAAAACGGAUUUGUUUAACUGGUUUCCAGUUCAGUCCAGAGUAUUGUGAGGAAAUACACAAAGGCAGUGGGAAAUAA